AAAUAGAAGCUUGAGCGUGUUCACGGGGUUAGAUAUAUAUAAACCCUAUUUUUUCACCAUAUCCUUUCCAGUUGUAGUUGCAGUCUGAGUCGCGGCAUAUCCAUCAUUAUUUCUCAUACUGUUAAGAUGAACAAGGAAAGGCUCAUGAAAAUGGUUGGUGCAGUCCGCACCGGUGGUAAGGGUAGCAUGAGAAGAAAGAAGAUGGCUGUCCACAAGACAACUACCACUGACGACAAGCGGUUACAGAGCACCCUCAAGGGGUAUCGG